UACGUAGGGUGCAAGCAUUAAUCGGAAUUACUGGGCGUAAAGCGUGCGCAGGCGGCUUUGCAAGACAGAUGUGAAAUCCCCGGGCUUAACCUGGGAACUGCAUUUGUGACUGCAUGGCUCGAGUGCGGCAGAGGGGGAUGGAAUUCCGCGUGUAGCAGUGAAAUGCGUAGAUAUGCGGAGGAACACCGAUGGCGAAGGCAAUCCCCUGGGCCUGCACUGACGCUCAUGCACGAAAGCGUGGGGAGCAAACAGG
rnacentral:rRNA from 1 species